UAUAUUUAUUGGACAACUACUAUUUAAAAUAUACAAAAUAUUCAGUAGAAGAUGGUAUUAAAUGUGUUUUUACAGAAAUAAAAACGUUCAUAUUUAUAGUAAACGGCAUGGUAGUCCGAUUAAAUUAUAUCCAAAAGGACAAUUAUAAAAGAUCUAAUAGACCAGGGCAUUUAGCACAAAAUAAAUCGUUUUUAAAUACAGUAGACAUCCGCCAAUGGAGCUUUCUUCAGGGGCGGAACGAAGACCAGAAUAUUGUUUUAUUUUAUUUUGAUGAUUUAUUUUGUAUUGAAUGAACAAUAAUAUAUACUUUAUUUUAAUUGAA
rnacentral:lncRNA from 1 species